CGGGCGCGGCCGUGGCGGUGCCGGGCCGGGCCCGGCGGGCGGAGGCGGCGGCGGUGCCGGGCCGGGCCCGGGGCUCGGAACUCGCAAUUCCAUCAUGGAGUUCCCUUUCGACCUGGCCCCGGUGCUGGGCGAUCGCUUCUGCGUGGUGGAUCAGCACCUGCGGCCCGCGGGGCGCGGCGGCGGCACCGUCAAACGGGAGGAGCUGGAGCAGCAGCUGAGGACGGUGAUCGAUGAGCUGGGCAAGGCCUCGGCCAAGGCCCAGGGCCUCUCCACGCCCGUGACCAGCGCGGCGCGAAUGGAGAGCAACAGGCACGUGCUGUACAUCCUCAGGGACACCCGGUCCCCCCGGGGAGCAGUGCUGGGGUUCCUCAAGGUGGGCUACAAGAAACUCUUCCUGCUGGAGCGGGACGGGUCCCACGUGGAGGUGGAGCCUCUCUGUGUUUUGGAUUUUUACAUCCACGAGUCCCAACAGCGCCGGGGGCUGGGCCAGGAGCUCUUCCGGGAGAUGCUGCAGCGGGAGCGGGUGCAGCCCCACAAGCUGGCCGUGGACAGACCCUCCCAGAAGCUGCUGGGCUUCCUCAGGAAACACUUCGGCCUCUGCGACCUCAUCCCGCAGGUGAACAAUUUUGUCAUUUUUGAGGGAUUUUUCUCCACCAGAACAGCCCCCGCCCGGCGCCCGUUCCCGCGGCCCCGCCCCGAGGAGCCGAUCAAACCCUACUCGCUGAGCGAGCGCCACUUCCUGCGGGAGGAGCCCGAGCCCCCCUGGCCCUUUAACCUGGGCCGGGGGUCCCCGGUGCGGGGCAGCCUCCGCCCCUUCCUGGUGCGCCGGGAAACCCCUCCGGGGACCCCUCCCCCACCGGGGACAGAGACCCCCCCGGAGCCGCCCCCGCGCCGAGCCAGCUCCCUGGGGCGCGUCGGCCGCUGAGCUCCCCCAGCCCCUCCCCCCUCCGGCCACUGACCCCCCAAUGGCCACUGACCCCCCCCCAAUGGCCACUGACCCCCAA